GACGAACGCUGGCGGCGUGCCUAAUACAUGCAAGUCGAGCGCAGGAAACUGACGGAACUCUUCGGAGGGAAGGCAGUGGAAUGAGCGGCGGACGGGUGAGUAACACGUAAGGAACCUGCCUCAAGGAUUGGGAUAACACCGAGAAAUCGGAGCUAAUACCGGAUAGUUCAUCGGACCGCAUGGUCCGUUGAUGAAAGGCGCUUCGGCGUCACCUUGAGAUGGCCUUGCGGUGCAUUAGCUAGUUGGUGGGGUAACGGCCCGCCAAGGCGACGAUGCAUAGCCGACCUGGGAGGGUGAUCGGCCACACUGGGACUGGGACACGGCCCAGACUCCUACGGGAGGCAGCAGUAGGGAAUCUUCCACAAUGGACGAAAGUCUGAUGGAGCAACGCCGCGUGAGUGAUGAAGGUUUUCGGAUCGUAAAACUCUGUUGUAAGGGAAGAACACGUACGAGAGGAAAUGCUCGUACCUUGACGGUACCUUACGAGAAAGCCACGGCUAACUACGUGCCAGCCGCCGCUGUAACAC
rnacentral:rRNA from 1 species